CGGGGGAGGCAAGCGUUGUUCGGAUUUACUGGGCGUAAAGGGACGCGUAGGCGGCCACCGCAAGUCGACUGUGAAAUCUCCGGGCUUAACCCGGAACGGUCAGCCGAUACUGCGGGGCUAGAGUGCAGAAGGGGCAACUGGAAUUCUCGGUGUAGCGGUGAAAUGCGUAGAUAUCAAGAGGAACACCUGCGGCGAAGGCGGGUUGCUGGGCUGACACUGACGCUGAGGCGCGAAAGCUAGGGGGAGCGAACGGGAUUAGAUACCCCGGUAGUCCUAGCCUUAAACGAUGAAUGCUUGGUGUCUGGGGUUUUAUAGUCCCCGGGUGCCGUCGCUAACGCUUUAAGCAUUCCGCCUGGGGAGUACGGUCGCAAGACUG
rnacentral:rRNA from 1 species